rnacentral:lncRNA from 1 species
AAAUUUAUAACAUAAAUCUAAUAAAAUACUUAAUCGAAAUUAAAGUAAAAUAAAAAGAAAAUUUACAAAAUAAGUAAAACUAUUAAAGGAGACACAUAUAUAACACACAUGAAUUUACAGGGAUCAAUAUUGAAAUAAUCCCUGAUCUUGAAACAUUGUGUUGAAAUAUGGACUAAAACAUAAAAGUAUUUCAAAUUUUAGGGAUAAUUUAAAAGAAAAUAAAGCAGAUUAAACGCAGAUGGGAGCAGAUUGCGCCGCGGUACAAGGAGGAGGGACCUUCCGCGCAAAUAUACCAUUCCAGGCGCAAAGGCACAAAUUCGGGGCUCUAGGCGGGUUAACGCGCGGACCCUCCCCCCUGUGCGGCGUCGUUUUAGGCCUGCUGCUAACCCCCUCUUUUUGAAUCAUUUUUUAACCUAAAACAUAAUUCCUUCCCCUUUUGAAAUGAAUCAUGCUAUCAGCCCAUUAUUUUAGGGUUUCCUUUAGCAUACCGCCUCCAACAAUAGAACUUCCAGAAUCCAGAAACCAGUUUGCGGCCUCAAGAUCAUUCCUCAUACUUCGAUCUCAGCGAAGCAAAGAAGAAUCCGUGGCGAAUUUGAAAAAGUAAGAUCCCCUUUUCGUUUCUUUUUUUUAUUUUGAAAUACAAUAUCGAAAGAUUGAGAAAAAAAUGAAAAGAUUCAACGAAAAAAACUAAAAGCCAGUAAAAAAAACUGAAAAUCACCUUUAUUAACUUGCUUUCGAAAUACCUUUUUUCAGAAUUUAGUGUGCAUAUGUAGAUGUAUAUUCUGUGUGCAUAAAAAUCUCUGGAGUACAAAAAUGAGGCUUUUUAUAGCCUGGAUUUACAGAAUAAAGUAAAAAAAUGAAAUUCUAUGUUCAUCGCUGUCAUCUUCUGUAAAUUCUGUUAUCUCUCUUCUCGUGUAUUCUUUGCGGGAACGGCCGUACGGAGGAGCCCCCCUGGUGACGUGGAGGCUGAGCGUGGAAAUUUCUCGUGAGAAGCUAACCUUUUGGUGUCCUUCUGGCUUACUCUAGAAGCUUCUAGCAUUCUCAGGAAAUUGAAAUAAUUCUAGGUGCAUUGGGCCUCGGGUUUUGGGGAUAUUUAGGCUAAUUUUUAUUGGGUUUUGGAAAUAUACAAUUUGGGCCAGACAUUAUGUAAUUGGGCUAAAAAGUUUUGGGGUAUUUGGUUAGAAAAUGGGUUUAUUAGAAUUGGGUUUUGGGCCAUGGGUUAUUUAGUAUUUUGUAAAUGGAUUUUUUUUGAACUAUUUAGUCUUGGACUUUUAUUCAUUUAUUUGGGUUUAUUUAUUUGCAAAUAAAUUAAAUGGGCCCGGACAAAAUUGGUUGACUACACCAUGUUUAUUAUUACGCAGAAUGCAAUUAUAUUGCAUAUAUUGAUUGUUUCCUUUCCGAGGUAAGACAAAUAGUAGUCGUUUAACUCACAAUAGAAAUGUGCGUGGUAAAAAAAUGGCACAUGUAUAAUUACUAAGUUUUAAACCAAAACAAAACCGAUGUUAUUCACUAUCCUAAACUUAUUACGAAGGUUUUGUUGUAUUUGGUACAAGUAUGAAACUAAACAUUUGUGCUUAGGUACUUGAGCCUCCGAAAAAGAUGCAUUUAGAUCCUCAAAGAAAAGAGAAUUUUGACGAUGGAAGUUUGGGAUUGGAGAUGGUUAGUAUCUAUGUAAUAAUUUAUUAUUUUAGUUCUCAAAGAUUAUUAAUAUACUAAUCAUAUCACAAUUUGACAAUGUGUAGAAUUGAAAUAAUAUAUUUAAAUUUCCAAAAUGAAAGCGGAGAAACAAUAAAUUAUCCUUAUCUC